rnacentral:rRNA from 1 species
UACGUAGGGUGCAAGCGUUAAUCGGAAUUACUGGGCGUAAAGCGUGCGCAGGCGGUUGUGCAAGACAGAUGUGAAAUCCCCGGGCUAACCUGGGAACUGCAUUUGUGACUGCACGGCUAGAGUGCGGCAGAGGGGGAUGGAAUUCCGCGGUGUAGCAGUGAAAUGCGUAGAUACUGGGAGGAACACCAGUGGCGAAGGCGGCUACCUGGACCGGUUCUAGGACGCUGAGGCGCGAAAGCUAGGGGAGCAAACAGGG